UGAAUACCUGAGUCACCAGCUGAAGUGUCCCUUAUGAGGAAAGAAGAGGCCAGGGACUAGAAGAUGCACCCCUUUCCUCCUGGGAGCCCCACGCUUCAGGAGUAGACUAGAGCCACCUCACUUGUGUUCCGUGGGGUUACAUUUGCUUAAGGAUACACCUUACUUUUUAAUAAAUGGUUUUGAUUGUUCAAACUAAUUUCUAGCUACCUGAAUAAUUCACAGAUUAUAGCUUAUUUUUAAUUAAUUUAUUUAUUUUGAAACAGUUUCACUGUGUCUGCCUGACUGGUCUGAAACUCACUAAGUAAACCAGGCUAGUUUCAAACACAGAUCUGCCUGCCUCUGCCUGCCAAUGCUCCAACUGAAGAGGCGACCUCUCACCCUGUGGCUCCGCCGUUAAGAGUGACCAGCUUAGCCACAGUUCUGGUGCUCAGCUUGAAGACAAGUCACAGGUGGGCAAGUAUCACUGCCUGAACAGGGCUGUUAAAGGUCCAUGCUCAAAUACAAGGGAGACAACAGAUAGGACAGGACAGGGCUCUGGGUGCUGUCCAGGGACUAAGGAAUACAGCUAAAUAAACCAAGGGGGCUAGGCCCAGUCAGCCAUUGUACAGAGGCCCAGAUUUCUGUAUGUGUCGUGGUCAAUGGCUGGGUUGACAGAGUGGUCUGCCUGUUUGUUGUCUGUGCUCAGCUUGCAGAAGCUGCCAGCUGUGCUCACACCACCACCUGGGACAACCACUCGUUGGUCAAGUUCAGACACCAUCCAUGGAGGUUGCAGGAAAGCUGGGGAAGGUUAUGAGUGGGAAUACUGUUUCGAAAGUAUCGUGCAUUAAAUGGGCAGUGUUAAUGUAGAACCAGGGUUCUACCACAUGCAAGUCUGUGUCCACAGAGCCGUUCUUGAACUCCGUAUCAGUACAGCUUUCACCUGGGUUGUCCGUUGUAGUGUCUGGGAAGCUUGAGGGUUCCCUUCUUAGGACCAGCGGGUGGUUUGUGAAAUGCUUAGCUGGUUAGCAUCCGAGGUGAGGGUCUGAAGGAGUCUCUCUGUCUUCUUCUUUCUUUGCCUGAUGCACAUCAAGGUAGAGUGCAUUCCGGUGUGGGUGCCAAUGAACUAGCUGCGAGCUGCUGUCAGAGUGGGAGCAGACUCAUCAGCCUUGGCAGAGAAAGAGUGCCCUUCAGGCUGUCAGGUCACGAGCUCCGAGCUGCCCUUAGUCCUUGUCAGCCUCACAGAGGUCUGCGCCCGACACUUCUGCCCUUUGAGACAAAAGAAACAGGCCCAGCACGAGUGGAAGUGGGUGUCUGUGUUUCUGUUUGCACUGUUUCUGUGACAGCCACCCAGGCAAAAUCAUGAAAUACACUCGGUUCUGUAAAUUGCUUCUUUAAAUGUCCCGUAGAUUCUUCCUGUAGGAAAACGUUACAAGUAUUCAAAGACAGCUAGCUGUCACUGGUGCUCCCCCCAAAGCGUUUCACCCCCUUCUGUGCAUCUUAGGAAUGAAAUGGUUGCUGUGUGCAGGUCAGGUUAAUGGAAGAACGAGUCUGGUGGUAUAGCGUGGUUUGAGAGAUGUCUUUCAGUUUUCUUUUCCUGCAUCAUACCUGGAAUGCAUGCAGCCUGCUGUUGGUACCCUGCUCACCUGUGUCUUUCUUACCCAGGAGGCUUCUCUCAGUGGUUGGAAGUAAAACCAUCUCAAUGGGCCUAUACAGGAAAGGCUGUUAAUUUAAGUCUGUCGUUACUUUCUGGCGAAUUUAACAUAAGCCUUGGGCACCUGUCACAAUUUUCUAAAGAUGGUUUGGGCUUCCUUACCUCCCAGUGUGAAGUGUUUCAAAUGUCUGUCAGUUCUCUUGCACGGUCCUAAUAAAAGUGAAAGCCCUCUGUCACGAAACAACAUGGGUGGUCCAAAGAUCAGGGGCAAGACAACUCAGCACACCUGGAACCCUUGGGGUCUUUAAGCAGCCGUGUCCAGGCUUCCUGAGAACACCGGCUGCAAACACGGGCAUCCCGGGGAAAGCUGGGAGUUUGGUUCCUGGCACAUUGCAAUCACUUGAUUGUGAGUCCUUGGGAGCAAAUGCCUGAUGCUGUAUUUUCACAACUCUGAGGAAACGUCUGGGAACUCCUAGGGGUAGGCGAUUGACUGCCUGAUUUUAGAGCAGGGAGCCCGGCCCCUUCUUUUGUCUUCCUGGCAGGAAAGCAAGACAGUGAGCCAUGCCCUAAAACACUCACACCUGUAAACCCAGUCCUUAGGAGACUGAGGCAGGAGGAUCCCUGUGAGUUCCAGGCCAGUCUAAGCUGCAGAGGGAAAGCGUCUC
rnacentral:lncRNA from 1 species